AAAGAAAAGCAGAAGCACCCGCUUCUCGCCUUGGUGACUAGAGUGACCGGGCUGACGAGUAGAAAUUUAGUCGAGUGAUCGACGUUAGCGGGGUGUGGUUUGCACCCCGCUUUUUUGCUUCUU
rfam:Lactobacillus secaliphilus strain DSM 17896 NODE_20, whole genome shotgun sequence.